UACGUAGGGUGCAAGCGUUAAUCGGAAUUACUGGGCGUAAAGCGUGCGCAGGCGGUGAUGUAAGACAGAUGUGAAAUCCCCGGGCUCAACCUGGGAACUGCAUUUGUGACUGCAUCGCUGGAGUGCGGCAGAGGGGGAUGGAAUUCCGCGUGUAGCAGUGAAAUGCGUAGAUAUGCGGAGGAACACCGAUGGCGAAGGCAAUCCCCUGGGCCUGCACUGACGCUCAUGCACGAAAGCGUAGGGAGCAAACAGG
rnacentral:rRNA from 1 species